AACGUAGGACGCGAGCGUUAUCCGGAAUUACUGGGCGUAAAGCGUGCGCAGUCGGUUAUUUAAGUCGGAUGUGAAAUCCCCGGGCUCAACCUGGGAACUGCAUCCGAUACUGGAUGGCUUGAAUUCGGGAGAGGGAUGCAGAAUUCCAGGUGUAGCGGUGAAAUGCGUAGAUAUCUGGAGGAAUACCGGUGGCGAAGGCGGCAUCCUGGACCGACAUUGACGCUGAGGAGCGAAAGCCAGGGGAGCAAACGGG
rnacentral:rRNA from 1 species